rnacentral:rRNA from 1 species
UACGUAGGGGGCAAGCGUUGUCCGGAUUUAUUGGGCGUAAAGAGCGUGUAGGCGGCCAGACAGGUCCGUUGUGAAAACUCGAGGCUCAACCUCGAGACGCCGAUGGAAACCGUCUGGCUAGAGUCCGGAAGAGGAGAGUGGAAUUCCUGGUGUGAGCGGUGGAAAUGACGCAGAUAUCAGGAAGAACACCCGUGGCUAAGGCGGCUCUCUAGUACGGUACUGACGCUGAGACGCGAAAGCGUGGGGAGCGAACAGG